CCAUGGCGGCAUGCUACACAUGCAGUCGAGCGAUCUCUUCGGAGAGAGCGGCGGACGGGGAGUAACGCGUGGGUAACCUGCCCUGUACACACGGAUAACAUACCGAAAGGUAUACUAAUACGGGAUAACAUAUGAAAGUCGCAUGGCUUUUGUAUCAAAGCUCCGGCGGUACAGGAUGGACCCGCGUCUGAUUAGCUAGUUGGUAAGGUAAUGGCUUACCAAGGCAACGAUCAGUAGCCGACCUGAGAGGGUGAUCGGCCACACUGGAACUGAGACACGGUCCAGACUCCUACGGGAGGCAGCAGUGGGGAAUAUUGCACAAUGGGCGAAAGCCUGAUGCAGCAACGCCGCGUGAGCGAUGAAGGCCUUCGGGUCGUAAAGCUCUGUCCUCAAGGAAGAUAAUGACGGUACUUGAGGAGGAAGCCCCGGCUAACUACGUGCCAGCAGCCGCGGUAAUACGUAGGGGGCUAGCGUUAUCCGGAAUUACUGGGCGUAAAGGGUGCGUAGGUGGUUUUUUAAGUCAGAAGUGAAAGGCUACGGCUCAACCGUAGUAAGCUUUUGAAACUAGAGAACUUGAGUGCAGGAGAGGAGAGUAGAAUUCCUAGUGUAGCGGUGAAAUGCGUAGAUAUUAGGAGGAAUACCAGUAGCGAAGGCGGCUCUCUGGACUGUAACUGACACUGAGGCACGAAAGCGUGGGGAGCAAACAGGAUUAGAUACCCUGGUAGUCCACGCCGUAAACGAUGAGUACUAGGUGUCGGGGUUACCCCCCUCGGUGCCGCAGCUAACGCAUUAAGUACUCCGCCUGGGAAGUACGCUCGCAAGAGUGAAACUCAGAGAAAUUGACGGGACAGACCACAGGGAGUACGGCCAC
rnacentral:rRNA from 1 species